AUAUAUAUAUCAACCUUCUCAUUGUUGAGUGGAUUGGAUGUGGGGGGUUUGCUGGCCUCUUUAAUGGGUUCAGCUCCUCUGAAAUGCAUUAGCAGAACAACCUGUUCAUUGGUGUGAUAACUAUCUACGCUAUUGAAUGUGAGGGGCAGUUCAGCUUUCUAACAGUCCUUGGACAAUUAAUCAUUU
rnacentral:misc_RNA from 1 species